ACUUGGGUAUAGGGGCGAAAGA
rnacentral:snRNA from 1 species